GUGUAAGAACACUUUCAAAAAGAUGUAUGCACAACUUUAAGCAUUCAUAUUCGUAUUUUAAACAUUUGUGCGUAAAUUAACUUAGGCAUGCAAAAUUACGUUUUCAUACACGUGAGUCAAUAAAAUUACAUUUGUAUUUUUAUGUGAGUGUGACUCUAGAAGCUAUGACUGUAAACAUUCAUGAGCACAACUCUGAUUUCUACGACUACGAAUUCUUCACUGUGAACACAAAUUCAAGUUUGUGGGUACGAGUAAAGGAGAGUUGAAGUGACGUCACUGCCGUCACAGGGCAGGUAAUCGAACCUAGAUUCCAUCUAACGCGCAUGCGUCAAAGGCGAAAGAUGGCUAACAACAGACCUGAGGCUGCUAGCCUAGGCUCAGCAUCACAGGGACCACUGGCUACUCAGUUACUGCAGCGUCUGGAAUCAAGGAUCUCUGACACAUUAAGUCAACCAUACUUUAAUUUGGACUACUUCCAAUUCACUAUAUGAAACUCUGUUUGUCUGUAUAGAUACUGUAUCUGGAACCAGCAACAAAUAAUUGCUCAAACACUGCCCUUUCAUUUUUCCUGAAGGCAGUGGAAAACUAUGGCUGGCCUUCCAGGAUUGAGCGCCUAUGGCGAGAUGUCUGGACCUGUGUCACUCAUCUGUACUAUGAAGUUCUUCACAGUCUAGAAGAAGACGGCCUGUUGGAUUUGUCAGAUGCUGUCCAUCUGUUUUGUGCCCAUUAUGUGUUCCUUCCACGUCUGGCAGAGGCCCUUCACACCUUCACCGAAGGCUGGGACAACCAUCCCUUACGAUCAGAAGGUGGACUCACCCCUAACCAACUCUGGGUUAUGGGUCACAUGCAGAACCCUUGUGACCCAGAUGAAGAUUUGCAGAACAUGGAGCUGUUUGGAACUGACUGGGAGAUGUUUGAAGGUGUGCCUGAAGAACCUUAUGGAGUUAAAGUCCCAGAAAUUGAGUGCCCGCUGACUCCAGCUAUUAUGGAAACUGUACAGUCCAUGAUCAAUCCCUCUGCAUCGUCAGAAUCAUUUGGCAGAGACAUUUAUAUAUCAGUGGUUCAGUGCAUUGAAAGUCUAUGUGUGACACAAAGAAAUGCCUAAGAUAUAAUCAGUCCUUGCAAAAGAUUU